CCUACGGGUGGCAGCAGUGAGGAAUAUUGGUCAAUGGACGCAAGUCUGAACCAGCCAUGCCGCGUGCAGGAAGACGGCUCUAUGAGUUGUAACCUGCUUUUGUACAAGGGUAAACUCCGAUACGUGUAUCUUUCUGAAUGUAUCUUACGAAUAAGGAUCGGCUAACUCCGUGCCAGCAGCCGCGGUAAUACGGAGGAUUCAAGCGUUAUCCGGAUUUAUUGGGUUUAAAGGGUGCGUAGGCGGUCGGAUAAGUUAGAGGUGAAAUCCCGAGGCUCAACUGUGGAAUUGCAUGUGAUACUGGUAGGCUAGAGAGGAGUUGCGGUAGGCGGAAUGUAGGGUGUAGCGGUGAAAUGCUUAGAGAUCAUACAGAACACCGAUUGCGAAGGCAGCUUACCAAGCUACUUCUGACGUUGAGGCACGAAAGCGUGGGGAGCAAACAGGAUUAGAUACCCGAGUAGUC
rnacentral:rRNA from 1 species